rnacentral:lncRNA from 1 species
CAAUAAAAUUGAGAAUGGAAAUGGGGAAUGUGUCAAAGAGACAACAACCCGACCAAAUAAAAAACAACAGUAGAGGGUCACCAACAGGUCUUCAAUGUAGCGAGAAAUUCCCGCACCCGGAGGCGUCCUUCAGCUGGCCCCUAAACAAAUAUAUACUAGUCCAGUGAUAAUGAACGCCAUACUAAUUUUCAAAUUGUACACAAGAAACUAAAAUUAAAAUAAUACAAGACUAACAAAGGCCAGAGGCUCCUGACUUGGGACAGGCGCUAAAAUGCGGCGGGGUUAAACAUGUUUGUGAGAUCUCAACCCUCCCCCUAUACCUCUAACCAAUCUAGAAAAGUAAACGCAUAACAAUACGCACAUUAAAAUUCAGUUCAAGAGAAGUCCGAGUCUGAUGUCAGAAGAUGUAACCAAAGAAAAUAAACAAAAUGACAAUAAUACAUAAAUAACAACAGACUACUAGCAGUUAACUGACAUGCCAGCUCCAGACUUCAAUAAAACUGACUGAAAGAUUAUGAUUUCAUCAUAUGAACAUCAGGCACAAUCCUUCCCGUUAGGGGUUUAGUAUCAUACCAUCAUAACAUAUAUGAGAAGAAAAUAACCCGUGUCAUGCCAACAACUGUUUUUAGAAUAAAUGUGUUUAGUUCCGAUGCAAAGACC